rnacentral:rRNA from 1 species
GACGAACGCUGGCGGCGUGCUUAACACAUGCAAGUCGAACGGAAAGGCCCUGCUUGCAGGGUGCUCGAGUGGCGAACGGGUGAGUAACACGUGGGUGAUCUGCCCCUUACUUUGGGAUAAGCCUGGGAAACUGGGUCUAAUACUGGAUAGGACCAUGCUGUAGGUGGUGUGGUGGAAAGAUUAGUUUCGGUAAGGGAUGAGCUCGCGGCCUAUCAGCUUGUUGGUGGGGUAAUGGCCUACCAAGGCGUCGACGGGUAGCCGGCCUGAGAGGGUGGACGGCCACAUUGGGACUGCGAUACGGCCCAGACUCCUACGGGAGGCAGCAGUGGGGAAUAUUGCACAAUGGGCGCACGCCUGAUGCAGCGACGCCGCGUGGGGGUUGACGGCCUUCGGGUUGUAAACUCCUUUCAGCCAUGACGAAGCCCUUGUGGUGACGGUAGUGGUAGAAGAAGCACCGGCUAACUACGUG